UACGAAGGGGGCUAGCGUUGCUCGGAAUCACUGGGCGUAAAGGGUGCGUAGGCGGGUCUUUAAGUCAGGGGUGAAAUCCCAAGGCUCAACCUUGGAACUGCCUUUGAUACUGGGGAUCUCGAGUCCGGGAGAGGUGAGUGGAACUGCGAGUGUAGAGGUGAAAUUCGUAGAUAUUCGCAAGAACACCAGUGGCGAAGGCGGCUCACUGGCCCGGUACUGACGCUGAGGAGCGAAAGCGUGGGGAGCAAACAGG
rnacentral:rRNA from 1 species